rnacentral:rRNA from 1 species
GACGAACGCUGGCGGCGUGCUUAACACAUGCAAGUCGAACGAUGAAGCCGGAGCUUGCUCUGGUGAAUUAGUGGCGAACGGGUGAGUAACACGUGAGUAACCUGCCCUUGACUCUGAGAUAACUGCGGGAAACUGUAGCUAAUACCGGAUACGACCCUCGGAGGCAUCUCCUGGGGGUGGAAAGAAUUUCGGUCAAGGAUGGACUCGCGGCCUAUCAGCUAGUUGGGGAGGUAAAGGCUCACCAAGGCGACGACGGGUAGCCGGCCUGGGAGGGUGCCCGGCCACACUGGGACUGAGACACGGCCCAGACUCCUACGGGGGGCAGCAGUGGGGAAUAUUGCACAAUGGGCGCAAGCCUGAUGCAGCAACGCCGCGUGAGGGAUGACGGCCUUCGGGUUGUAAACCUCUUUUAGCAGGGAAGAAGCGAAAGUGACGGUACCUGCAGAAAAAGCACCGGCUAACUACGUGCCAGCAGCCGCAGUAA